rnacentral:misc_RNA from 1 species
GAAAACGAAAAAACCACCUGGGGAGGUGGUUUGAUCGAAGGUUAAGUCAGUUGGGGAACUGCUUAACCAGGUAACUGGGUAUACGAGACCGCAGAAACCAAAACUGUUCUUUCAGUGUAGCCUCUCUCAGGCCCAUACUUCAAGACCUCUUAAUUUGUCUCUCGUAUACCUCCAGUUACUAAUGGCUGCUGCCAGUAGCGAUUUUUCGUGUCUUUCCGGGUUGGACUCAAGACGAUAGUACCCGGAUAAGGCGCAGCAGUCGGACUGAACGGGGGGUUCGUGCAUACAGUCAAUCCUGGAGCGAACUGCCUUCGCGGAACUGAGUGUCAGGCGUGGAAUGAGAAACCGCGGCCAUAACAGCGGAAUGACACCGGUAAACCGAAAGGCAGGAAUGCGGGGGAGCACGAGGGAGCCAUCAGGGGGAAACGCCUGGUAUCUUUAAGCCGCAUCGGGUUUCGCCACCACUGAUUUGAGCGUCAGAUUCUGUGAUGCUUGUCAGGGGGGCGGAGCCUAUGGAAA